rnacentral:lncRNA from 1 species
UAAUUACCCUCAUCGUCAGAGGUGCUUUCUGCUGUCCUAAUUGGAGCCUGCCUGGUCUUGGCUGGGCGCAGGCUCCUGGGGACGGGGCACCGCGGGAAGGGGCUGCUGCAGGGACAGCAGGAGCCACUCCGUGUCCUGGCACAACCCUGGGCUGCUCCUGUCACAGAAUCACAGAAUCUUCUAGGUUGGAAGGGACCUCAAAGAUCAUCUUGUCCAACCGUCAACCUCACUGACAAAAAUUAGACACCCCCACAACAAACAAGAAGCAUCAUCACUAAACCAUACCUCCCAGCACUUCAUCAACCUGUCUUUUGAACACCUCCAGGGGUGGUGCCUCAACCACCUCCCUGGGCAGCCCAUUCCAAUGUCUGUCCUUCCCCCAGAACUUAAAUCUGGAGAGAGCAGCCAACCUUGGGCUCAGCCUGUGGCUGCUCUAGAGCGGGACAUCUCCAGCUGGGUGAGGAGCAUGGCCAGGAGCCUUCGGGAAGCCGGUGCCAGAGAGACCUCUGCGUGGGGUGGGGUGAAAAAGCCCUUCCCCUUUCCUUCCCAGGGCUCAUUCCCCUCCUCUCUCUCUCCCCUCAGAUCUGGACAUGGCCAGGGAACCCAAGCCGAGCCGGGCCAGGCUGGGCCAGAAGCGGCAGCACGGCAGCAGCCUGUACCACAGUAACUGUGACCUGGACUACGACCUCUACAGGGACGACUUCCCGUACCGGGUGUACGAGUACCAGAAGAUCCCCCCCCUCAUUAACCGCAUCCCGGUCAAGGCCAGAAGAAGUCACGUGGGGGCAAGAAGCAAAAGCAGCCUGAGCCCCCAGCCCGGGGCCAGGAGCAGCAGCAGCUCCGCGGUGGGACGGACGAAGCUGGGAGCUGAAGAGCUGCACUCCAUCAAGGGGGAGCUGAGCCAGAUCAAGGCGCGGGUGGACAGUCUGCUGGAGAGCCUGGACCGCAUGGACCAGCGGAGAGAACGUCUGGAAGGGCCCAAGGAGAGCGAGAAGAAGAGGGCAGAGACGGGGGCAGAGUCACCGUCCCCAGCGGGAGAGGGGUCACGGGAGGCCCGGGGGAAGGAGGGGACGGGAGCUGAUGGGCACAGCGACCUGCGCAACAUCGACAGCGCCGAGGAGGAGGAAGAGGAGGAGAGCACAGACACAGAGGAGAUGGUGAAGACCCACGUGUCGGACCCCGAGGGGAGCCAGUAGACGGAGGGGGGUCCCGGGGCCAGCCCUUUCCCCUCUCGCCUUCCUUACUUCUUUCCGAGGCUUCCCAGCUGGUGCCACAGGGUUGCUGUGAGGUGCCCGCUCCCCACAUGGGCACCCCCCUGCCGCCGGCAGCCUCGCGUCCCACCAGCCCGGGCCGGAGAAGUCUUUGUGUCCCAGUGGCGCUUGUUUUCUCCUUUUUUCCUCCUGUUUUCAGCCCUAGAGGAAAAAAAAAAAAAAAAAGGAUCAUAUCCCAAAGGAUUAUCCCAAAUCUUGGCUGCUUGAAGAGCUGGCACCCCCCUACACACACACCCAUAGGGUGGAGAAAGCCCCCCAACCCUGAGGGCACGGGUCGCAUCCCAACCUCUCCUGCCCCGCGAGCCCACCCCGCUGCCUCCCC